rnacentral:sRNA from 2 species
UGCAUCUGAAGUCUGAAGAGGAUGAGAACCUCCGGGGGAAAGAGGUUCGACCCGAGCGAAGCGAGAGAACGUUGCGUCAGCAACGGCCCGCAGGGCGAGCCACGCAGUGGCGAGUCAUCCUCUAUCACCGACCA